rnacentral:lncRNA from 1 species
GCCCACCAUCCUCCAGCACCUAGAGAAGGAGCAUCGGGCAUUCCCUUCCCCAUCCCAAUCCAUCUCCGCUAGCCACCGCCGACCCUUGCUCUGGCGCCGCCCCACCCUCUUUCUCUGGCGCCCCCAACCCUCCAGAUCCGUCGCGCUCCAUCCCAUCUGCUCCACGCGCCGCCCGGGCUCCUGCUCCGGUGUCUCCCCAUCCUCAAUCCAUCGCGCCACCAUAGUCCCGUGUGAUUCUAGAGUCCAAGUCGUCCUCCACCUUCUCUGCAGGUAUGAACAACAGUUUUGAGAACUUUUCAGGUACCCUUCAUCACGCCACCAUGAAGGUGCUCAUCCUUCUUAACCUUUCUAUUCACACUGGUGAAUGGGUUCUAGCUGCACCUUUAUAAUAAUCACCGCAAGGCAUGGCGUUGGUAGUUGUUGUCGCUCAGAGCACUGCACAGAAACUGCAGGCCUGGUCUGCAACUCUCUCCCCAUUCCAAUCUCAUGUGCAUUUUCAUUCCAUCAAGUUUCCUUCAGCAAUUUAAUUUACACACGUAUUUGUUACAAAUUGUUGCAAUGCAUUGUUUAUGCAAACAAACUGCCUGACGAAAUUGCCCAUUGGUUUAUGUCCUCCUCCCCUUGAAUCUGAAGUUGGUAGACAGUGAAAUAUAUGCACGAAGGAGAAGGGAGAAGAGGUCUCUUCAAUCGAUGACAAUAUCAUUAUGCUGAGAUGAUAGUGUCAGUUGUUUUUAUCUUUGACAUUGUUUUCUCACAUCCUUUGGAAUCUGACAAAGGUUCGUGUCCCUUUUCCUUUCUAGAUUACCUCACACACCGCCAGGUUCUUCAAGUUAACUAAUUAUAGUUCUAUAGUUGUCUAUUGAUAGCCCUACGCCAUUGUUGUUUUGUAGACCAUUUACUAAUGGAGUCUCCUUUGCAUAUUGUUCUGUUAUGAGUGAAUCAAUCACUGUUCCUUUUCUAAUCUUCACAUGUAGUUUUCAGAUGUAUAUGUGUAAUCCCCUUCCUGAAAAAAUGCUGCUCAAGUUCAAAACACAUGUCUUUUUUUUGUUUGCUCUGAGCCUCUGAUUGCUGUUAACCACUUCCAUUAUUUUUAACUUUCAAGUACUUGGUUUCUAUGAAUAAUUAGACUCUACAUAUUUGAUAUACGAAUACUAAGCUUAUUGUGCUUUAGGAUUACUUAUAUUGGACAGGAGAGUCCGCAUUUAGUGUGGUAUGAUCAGAUUAUUGUCAUUUUAAUUAGUUCUCGUCGAAUUCAAGUCAUCGACAUCCUGUUACCAACUUCAAAUUUCUAGGUAAAAUUUUCUAGCUAUGAUGAAAGUGACAAGGUGAUCAAGGGAAAUGUACUUCACAGGUAUUACCUAUUACCAGUUAGUAUUGAUAGUAGUUACCUCUCAAACAUAUCAGCAAGUCAUUUCUUAUAUUAUAAGUUAGUGGAGAUUACUAGAUAUGCUUGCAUGUCAUUUAACUUUCGGUUAUUAUCAGUAGCUUCUAUGCAAGCUGACAACAACAUCCAAGCCCUCUGCUCCAUCUUUAAGACCUUCUACAUGAUUUUUCUGAGUAUGCACUUUCUCUGAACUUGCACCUUCUUUUACUGGCCAUUGCUUGGCUGACAGCUUGGCUGAGCUGACAGUUGGUGGUCCUCGGUUAAAUGGGAGUGAACCUUGGCUUGUAUUUGGUCGAUUUUGUUGUACUAUAACAUGCUAAUGUUGCCACUUUCUAUUUUGUUGUGCUUGUAGGUUGUAAACGCGAUGAUUCCGGCUCUGAAGAAAACACCGAAUAUGCUGCAAUUUUGAUAUUCAGAAACUAGACAUGUGUCUUGUUGUUGCUUAAACUUAAAAACCAAUUUAUUUCUAUCUUUCAGUUGUCUUUAAUCUGUCCCUUUUGUAGGGAUCAGUAUAUUUGGGACAACUAAUUAGUUCGCGACGGUUAUUUUUUGUGCAUUAGCUUCUUUUUCUAUAUAUGGAAUGAAUUUCUGAUGUAGAUUUGAUGGCCUAACUGUUGAUGAUAUCCAAAUGCAAGUGACAAAAAAUGUGCCAGCCGGUGUGUUGCCCUCUGUUUUGUCACUUUUAUUCUAUAUAUUCUUACUAUAAAUGGAAGAAACAAGUGAUGAAAGGUUGUACUUGUACAUACAAAAGGGAAAUAUGAGAGAAAUAAAAAGGAGAAAAUUCAUGAAUAAUUUUGGUUUGAUGAAA